rnacentral:tRNA from 1 species
AGGGGCUGUAGCACAGUCGCAGAGCAUCUGUUUAGUAUGCAGAAGGCUCUGGGUUCAAUCCCUGGCCUCUA